GACGAACGCUGGCGGCGUGCUUAACACAUGCAAGUCGAACGGAAAGGCCCUGCUUUUGUGGGGUGCUCGCGUGGCGAACGGGUGAGUAACACGUGAGUAACCUGCCCUUGACUUUGGGAUAACUUCAGGCAACUGGGGCUAAUACCGGAUAGGAGCUCCUGCUGCAUGGUGGGGGUUGGAAAGUUUCGGCGGUUGGGGAUGGACUCGCGGCUUAUCAGCUUGUUGGUGGGGGAGUGGCUUACCAAGGCUUUGACGGGUAGCCGGCCUGAGAGGGUGAACGGCCACAUUGGGACUGAGAUACGGCCCAGACUCCUACGGGAGGCAGCAGUGGGGAAUAUUGCACAAUGGGCGGAAGCCUGAUGCAGCAACGCCGCGUGCGGGAUGACGGCCUUCGGGUUGUAAACCGCUUUCGCCUGUGACGAAGCGUGAGUGACGGUAAUGGGUAAAGAAGCACCGGCUAACUACGUG
rnacentral:rRNA from 1 species